rnacentral:rRNA from 1 species
AUGCAGUCGAACGGAAAGGUCUCUUCUGAGAUACUCGAGUGGCGAACGGGUGAGUAACACGUGGGUGAUCUGCCCUGCACUUCGGGAUAAGCCUGGGAAACUGGGUCUAAUACCGGAUAGGACCACGGGAUGCAUGUCUUGUGGUGGAAAGCGCUUUACCGGUGUGGGAUGAGCCCGCGGCCUAUCAGCUUGUUGGUGGGGUGACGGCCUACCAAGGCGACGACGGGUAGCCGGCCUGAGAGGGUGUCCGGCCACACUGGGACUGAGAUACGGCCCAGACUCCUACGGGAGGCAGCAGUGGGGAAUAUUGCACAAUGGGCGCAAGCCUGAUGCAGCGACGCCGCGUGGGGGAUGACGGCCUUCGGGUUGUAAACCUCUUUCACCAUCGACGAAGGUCCGGGUUCUCUCGGAUUGACGGUAGGUGGAGAAGAAGCACCGGCCAACUACGUGCCAGCAGCCGCGGUAAUACGUAGGGUGCGAGCGUUGUCCGGAAUUACUGGGCGUAAAGAGCUCGUAGGUGGUUUGUCGCGUUGUUCGUGAAAUCUCACGGCUUAACUGUGAGCGUGCGGGCGAUACGGGCAGACUAGAGUACUGCAGGGGAGACUGGAAUUCCUGGUGUAGCGGUGGAAUGCGCAGAUAUCAGGAGGAACACCGGUGGCGCAGGCGGGUCUCUGUGCAGUAGCUGACGCUGAGGAGCGAAAGCGUGGGGAGCGAACAGGAUUAGAUACCCUGGUAGUCCACGCCGUAAACGGUGGGUACUAGGUGUGGGUUUCCUUCCUUGGGAUCCGUGCCGUAGCUAACGCAUUAAGUACCCCGCCUGGGGAGUACGGCCGCAAGGCUAAAACU